rnacentral:rRNA from 1 species
GAGUUUGAUCCUGGCUCAGGAUGAACGCUGGCGGCGUGCCUAAUACAUGCAAGUCGAGCGAACAGAUAAGGAGCUUGCUCCUUUGAAGUUAGCGGCGGACGGGUGAGUAACACGUGGGUAACCUACCUAUAAGACUGGGAUAACUUCGGGAAACCGGAGCUAAUACCGGAUAACAUUUAGAACCGCAUGGUUCUAAAGUGAAAGAUGGUUUUGCUAUCACUUAUAGAUGGACCCGCGCCGUAUUAGCUAGUUGGUAAGGUAACGGCUUACCAAGGCGACGAUACGUAGCCGACCUGAGAGGGUGAUCGGCCACACUGGAACUGAGACACGGUCCAGACUCCUACGGGAGGCAGCAGUAGGGAAUCUUCCGCAAUGGGCGAAAGCCUGACGGAGCAACGCCGCGUGAGUGAUGAAGGGUUUCGGCUCGUAAAACUCUGUUAUUAGGGAAGAACAAAUGUGUAAGUAACUGUGCACAUCUUGACGGUACCUAAUCAGAAAGCCACGGCUAACUACGUG